ACGAACGCUGGCGGCGUGCUUAACACAUGCAAGUCGAACGGAAAGGCCCUGCUUUUGUGGGGUGCUCGAGUGGCGAACGGGUGAGUAACACGUGAGUAACCUGCCCUUGACUUUGGGAUAACUUCAGGAAACUGGGGCUAAUACCGGAUAGGAGCUCCUGCUGCAUGGUGGGGGUUGGAAAGUUUCGGCGGUUGGGGAUGGACUCGCGGCUUAUCAGCUUGUUGGUGGGGUAGUGGCUUACCAAGGCUUUGACGGGUAGCCGGCCUGAGAGGGUGACCGGCCACAUUGGGACUGAGAUACGGCCCAGACUCCUACGGGAGGCAGCAGUGGGGAAUAUUGCACAAUGGGCGGAAGCCUGAUGCAGCAACGCCGCGUGCGGGAUGACGGCCUUCGGGUUGUAAACCGCUUUCGCCUGUGACGAAGCGUGAGUGACGGUAAUGGGUAAAGAAGCACCGGCUAGGUACGUG
rnacentral:rRNA from 1 species